rnacentral:rRNA from 1 species
UACGUAGGGGGCUAGCGUUGUCCGGAAUCAUUGGGCGUAAAGAGCGCGUAGGCGGCUAGAUAAGUCCGGUGUGAAAGUCACAGGCUCAACCUGUGAAUGCCGCUGGAAACUGUCUGGCUAGAGUCCGGAAGGGGCGAGUGGAAUUCCUGGUGUAGCGGUGGAAUGCGCAGAUAUCAGGAGGAACACCUAUUGCGAAGGCAGCUCGCUGGGACGUAACUGACGCUGAGACGCGAAAGCGUGGGGAGCAAACAGG